UUCGUUCCCAUUCUCUCUCUGUCCUCUUUUCUCUCUCUCGUCUCAUAAUCUCUCUCACACACAACACACACUAAAUCAUAUCAGAUCUUCCCCUCCGUCUCUCUCUCUCCCUCUCUCUCUAUAUAUAUAGCAUAGAUUCACGCAUUAAACCCGGAGGAAAGCUUGUCCAGAGUGCUACUCUUUUACGGCCGUCUCUAAUUCGCUUGGUGCAGGUCGGGAACUGCUUUUCCCACGACGUCGUUGGGUGAUUUCUGAUGAAUGAUGUUUCUGGUGAAUUGAAGUCCCGCCUUGCAUCAACUGAAUCAGAGGCCGCAGUAAAAAAUUCAGAAAAUUUCGUAUCGAACAGCGUCGCAUCGGAUCGUCUAAUGACUUUAGGUACAUAUGACAGCCAGAUCUAAGGUGGUGAAGCUUGUCGUAAUUAGAGCUUUGUUUCUGGAAUGUACUUCCGUAUCUUGCAAGCUACGUUUACGUUAUGAAAGCCUUACUUACCUACUAUUGGGUCAAUGGUGGAAUUUACGUGUUACUGUUCCAGUAUUCAGUUUGUGCAACGGCUGAUGGCCAGCCGUAAAGGUGGCAUUUGUAGCUCCGAGAACACUUUGUAUAGCAAGGGCAGAGGCGCAGAGCGUAAGGGGAGGCUGGGAAAUGGUCUACAGCCCAGAUUUGACAGCAAAUUUUCCCGUGCAACAGAAAAUUAUUAAAGCUUAUUACAUGGCUGCUUUAUGCAUAGCUGCUGGCGGACCAUGCAUUACACAGUUCUCGUGAUCCAAGUUUUGUUGUAGUACUAAGUACUUUAUAUCCAAAGUUUUCAGCAACCCAAGGAACUGAAAAUUGGAAAACUCUAGUCUAAUGAAUUACUUUAUUGAAAAUGGUUACCAUACGUUUAGGUGUAGUGGCAGGAGGCAACGUUAACUAGCACAAUUUCUCAAUUUGCAAAUUUGGAAGUUAUCUUUUAGGAUGCAACAUGAUUCAUUUUGUGUUUUAUUUCUAAUUUCUAAUUUCUCCAUUUUACAACA